AGAGAGAGGCGGGGAACGGGCGGCGGCGGCGGCGGCGGCGGGGAGACCGAGCGGCCGGGCGGCCGAGGCGGGCACUGCGCCGGCUCCCUGGGGCCCUAGGUCGUUGCUGCAGUCGCCGGGAAAGAAAUUCGGUAGACACCAGGCGUCUCCCACCUCGAAAUUCUCUCGGCCCUUUUCAGUUGAUUCAUAGCCAAAAAUGCAUGGUCAUGGAGGCUAUGACUCUGAUUUUAGUGAUGAUGAACACUGUGGAAAAUCUAGCAAAAGGAAAAAAAGGACAGUUGAGGAUGAUUUACUGCUCAAAAAGCCAUUUCAGAAAGAAAAACAUGGGAAAGUGGCCCAUAAACAAGUUGCAGCAGAAUUGCUGGAUAAGGAAGAAGCAAGAAAUAGAAGAUUUCAUCUCAUAGCUAUGGAUGCUUAUCAAAGGCAUACAAAGUUUAUCAAUGACUAUAUUUUAUACUAUGGUGGCAAAAAGGAGGACUUCAGGCGAUUGGGGGAAAAUGACAAAACAGACAUGGAUGUUAUACGAGAAAAUCAUAGAUUCCUGUGGAAUGAGGAGGAUGAAAUGGACAUGAAUUGGGAGAGGAGACUUGCAAAGAAGUACUAUGAUAAAUUAUUCAAGGAAUACUGCAUAGCAGAUCUCAGUAGAUACAAAGAAAAUAAGUUUGGAUUUAGGUGGCGAAUAGAAAAAGAAGUAAUUUCAGGAAAAGGCCAGUUUUUCUGUGGAAAUAAAUGUUGUGAUAAAAAAGAAGGCUUAAAGAGUUGGGAAGUUAACUUUGGUUAUAUCGAGCAUGGUGAAAAGAGAAAUGCACUUGUUAAAUUAAGAUUAUGCCAAGAAUGUUCUUUAAAAUUAAAUUUUCAUCACAGGAGAAAAGAAGUCAAGUCAAAAAAAAGAAAGGAUAAAACCAAAAAAGACUGUGAAGAGUCAUCACAUAAAAAGCCCAGAUUAUCUUCUGCAGAAGAGAGCUCUAAGAAAAAAGAUAAAGGACAUUCAUCCUCAAAGAAAUCAGAAAACUCUAUAAAUAGAAGCUCUGAUGAGGAAGAAGGUACUUUGGAAUCUGAACUUUGGAAGGGCCCACUACCAGAAACAGAUGAAAAAUCACAGGAAGAAGAAUUUGAUGAUUAUUUUCAAGAUUUAUUUCUGUAGAUGGAAGACAGGAGCCUACAUUCUUUAAUGUGGAAGUACACUUGGAAAUUCUUGAUAAAAGUUUUAUCUCUCCCAGCCUCUGGCAGGAUCAAAUGUCUGAACUCUAAAACACCAGACCCCAGACCAUGAUGAAUGCACCAGCACAGAAGGCCACCUUGCAAGGCCACCUUCUGGCAGCGCGCCGACCUUGCUGCGUAUUCUUCAAUUCAAACCUCUUCAGAUAAUGUAUGAAUUAAUAUUAGGGGCUUAGCUUUUUAUAAGGUUUCCAAAUGGCUAUAAAGACACUAUCAGGCAUCUGGAGGGUAUUCUAUUGGUAACCCAAAAGGAAGAUGAAUAAAUAUAUGUGUGACUAAAUGCCUUUUAACUUGAUUGUAGUGGAUCACAGAGUAUACAGAGUUCUGUACUUACUU